GAUGAAGAACGCAGCGAAAUGCGAUAAGUAAUGUGAAUUGCAGAAUUCAGUGAAUCAUCGAAUCUUUGAACGCACAUUGCGCCCCUUGGUAUUCCGGGGGGCAUGCCUGUUCGAGCGUCAUUAUAACCCCUCAAGCUCAGCUUGGUGUUGGGGCCUGCCAACUGGCAGCCCUUAAAAUCAGUGGCGGCGCCAUCUGGCUCUAAGCGUAGUAAUUUCUCUCGCUAUAGGGUCCCGGUGGAUGCUGGCCAACAACCCCCAAUUUUCUAUGGUUGACCUCGGAUCAGGUAGGGAUACCCGCUGAACUUAAGCAUAUCAAUAAGCGGAGA
rnacentral:misc_RNA from 1 species